rnacentral:rRNA from 1 species
UACAGAGGGUGCGAGCGUUGUUCGGAAUUACUGGGCGUAAAGCGCGCGUAGGUGGUGUGUUAAGUCUGCCGGUCAAAUGCCGAGGCUCAACCUCGUUGCACGCCGGGGAUACUGGCACGCUAGAGACAAGUAGAGGCAAGCGGAAUUCCGGGUGUAGCGGUGGAAUGCGUAGAGAUCCGGAAGAACACCGAUGGCGAAGGCGGUGGUCUGGGCCGGCACUGACGCUGAGAGACGAAAGCUAGGGGAGCGAAUGGG